rnacentral:rRNA from 1 species
GUCCACGCCGUAAACGAUGGAUACUAGCUGUUGGGGUUUACCUCAGUGGCUAAGCGAAAGUGAUAAGUAUCCCACCUGGGGAGUACGUUCGCAAGAAUGAAACUCAAAGGAAUUGACGUGGGCCCGCACAAGCGGUGGAGCAUGUGGUUUAAUUCGAUGAUACGCGAGGAACCUUACCAAGGCUUAAAUGUAGAUUGACAGGACUGGAAACAGUUUUUUCUCGGACAAUUUACAAGGUGCUGCAUGGUUGUCGU